CCUACGGGCGGCUGCAGUGAGGAAUCUUCCACAAUGGGCGAAAGCCUGAUGGAGCAACGCCGCGUGCAGGAUGAAGGCCUUCGGGUUGUAAACUGCUUUUAUUAGUGAGGAAUAUGACGGUAACUAAUGAAUAAGGAUCGGCUAACUACGUGCCAGCAGCCGCGGUCAUACGUAGGAUCCGAGCGUUAUCCGGAGUGACUGGGCGUAAAGAGUUGCGUAGGUGGUUAGUAAAGCGAAUAGUGAAAUCUGGGGGCUCAACCUCACAGGCUAUUAUUCGAACUCACUAACUCGAGAGUGGUAGAGGUAACUGGAAUUUCUAGUGUAGGAGUGAAAUCCGUAGAUAUUAGAAGGAACACCAAUGGCGUAGGCAGGUUACUGGACCAUUUCUGACACUGAGGCACGAAAGCGUGGGGAGCGAACCGGCUUAGAUACCCUAGUAGUC
rnacentral:rRNA from 1 species